CUUAAUAACUUGUGGAAAAACUGAGGGUUAAUUAGUGCAAUUCACGGUUAACUUGGGGCGUUGAGUAUUCAUAAUUUAUUGGAAGAACAACUGAAAAUCGUUUUGUUGCAAGUGUGACAUGUGUGGAGAAGAACCUCCUAACUAGCCCUUUUAACCAUCUAUUUCACCAAAAUCGUUUUUACAAUCUGUGUUAAUUAAAGUUUCUGUUUUGUGUUAAAUUUUCGUCCAAAACAAAUCCCCCUUUAAUUUGAAGUCUUAGAUUAGUUAGA
rnacentral:lncRNA from 1 species